CGGCGGACGGGUGAGUAACACGUGGAUAACCUACCUAUAAGACUGGGAUAACUUCGGGAAACCGGAGCUAAUACCGGAUAAUAUAUUGAACCGCAUGGUUCAAUAGUGAAAGACGGUUUUGCUGUCACUUAUAGAUGGAUCCGCGCCGCAUUAGCUAGUUGGUAAGGUAACGGCUUACCAAGGCAACGAUGCGUAGCCGACCUGAGAGGGUGAUCGGCCACACUGGAACUGAGACACGGUCCAGACUCCUACGGGAGGAGCAGCA
rnacentral:rRNA from 1 species